GUAUCUUAAAUAUAUAUCAAUCAUCUAUAAAAAAUAUAUUGACAGAUAGUUUAAUAGCUAUGCAGAGAAAAGUUCUGGAAGAAAAAUUAGCUGAGACAUGAUUAUGUGCAUAUGGUAGAAUUAUUAUUGUUUUAAUUUUUUUGUUUUACUUCUAUUUGUAGCAGAUAUUUGAUUUUUAAAUAUUGUUAUUGAGGUUUUUUUAAAUGUGACUCUUCUUUGACCCAGUUUUUAUGUUUGUAGGAAUUUUGCCUAAGCAAAUAAUUCGGGAUGUACAAGAAUUUAGGAAUAGCAUUGUUUCAUGCCAGAUUACUUGUGAAGGAUAAAGAAGCGGAGGUGAAACCUAGGGGAUGGCUGAUUGGGGAACUUUCAACAGACCAGACAACAGAAACUAAGACUAACAGUGAACGUGAAAGAAACACAUCCUUAUGCUAUUCCGGACCAAAUACCUGGACUCUUGUUGCUGACUGCGCUGCAGCCAGGAAGAAUUAGAAACUAUCUCUCCCUGAUGCCAGUGAUGCUGUCCGUGGACUACACUUUGAGAAUCAAGGAUCUGUAAUACUGCCAAGGAUCUAUACAAUGAUAAUUGUUCAGCUAUAAUGACCCUUCUCAUACAUAAAUAUAAAUAUUACCUUGAGCAAGAUACUCUGCUUUACUCAAAUGAAAAGUUAAGAUAACACCUACUUACCAAGAAUGUUGAAAGGAUCCCAG
rnacentral:lncRNA from 12 species